GGGGGUGUAGCUCAGUGGUUAGAGCAGAGGACUCAUAAUCCUUUGGCCGAUGGUUCAAGUCCAUCCACCCCCACCA
rnacentral:tRNA from 1 species